AUGGACGACUCGCCGCUAAGCCGCGGACCCCUGGGCCCCCUGCUAGGUAGCGGUCCACUGGACCCGUCGUCGUCGGCGGCAGAUUCGGAUGGCUCGGGUGGAUCGUCGUCCGCAGAUUCGGAUAGCUCCGGUGGAUCGUCGUCAUCGGGAUCCCCGCCGUCUCCCUCCAGCCCACAAUCGUCCACGCAGUCGACCCCACCGCCAGGGUCCUCGGACUCGGCGCCGUCGCCGCCCUCGCCGUCUCAGUCACCGCCGCCGGCUACGCCAGCAGGCACCAGCGGGCCGCCCCCGGCUCAAGUCUCGCCGCCGGGGUCAAAUGCCAUCCCGUCUCCGCAGGCUCCGAAGAGCAACGGGGGUGGCGGCGGCGGCGGCGGCUCCUCGGAGAGCGGGGGCGGCUCCAAGGGCGGGGGCGGGUCGAGCGGCCGCGGCAAGGGCGGGAGCAAGCAAGACGAUUCUCCGCCCGUGGAGGCCGUGGUCGUCGGCGUGGUGAUCGGGGUCCUGGUCUUCGCCCUGCUGCUGUGCAUCGCCGCGUGCGUGUGCUGCGCCAGGAGGAAGAAGAAGAAGCCGCCCAUGGCCAUGCCCUUCUACACCGACCAGCAUGGGAACGUGUACUACGCGAACAACAUGCCGAGCCCGUGGCAGCAGAGCGGCGGCCCGGUGGACGGGCACGGCGGCGUGGGGUGGCACCCGCAGUACCCGCUGGGCCAGGGGCCGCUGAGCGAGGAGAUGAUCAUGAGCGGGUCGCAGGGGACGGGGUCGUCGAUGCCCCCGCCGUCGCCGGCCAUCUUCGGGUCGCAGAGCUCGUUCACGUACGAGGAGCUGGCGUCGGCGACGGGCGGCUUCUCCAAGGCGAACCUGCUGGGGCAGGGCGGGUUCGGGUACGUGUACAAGGGCCUGCUGCCGGGCAGCGGCAAGGAGGUGGCGGUGAAGCAGCUCAAGGCCGGCAGCGGGCAGGGCGAGCGCGAGUUCCAGGCGGAGGUGGAGAUCAUCAGCCGCGUCCACCACCGCCACCUCGUCUCCCUCGUCGGCUACUGCAUCGCCGGCGCCUCCCAGCGCCUGCUCGUCUACGAGUUCGUCGCCAACGAUACCCUCGAGCGCCACCUCCACGGCAAGGGCCUGCCGGUCAUGGACUGGCCCAAGAGGCUCGCCAUCGCGCUCGGCUCCGCCAAGGGCCUCGCGUACCUGCACGAGGACUGCAAUCCGAGGAUCAUCCACCGUGACAUCAAGGCGGCCAACAUUCUCUUGGAUGAAAAUUUCGAGGCUAAGGUCGCGGAUUUCGGGCUCGCCAAGUUGACGACGGACAACAACACCCACGUCUCCACGCGCGUCAUGGGGACGUUCGGGUAUCUGGCGCCGGAGUACGCGUCCAGCGGCAAGCUGACGGACAAGUCGGACGUCUUCUCCUUCGGCGUGAUGAUGCUGGAGCUCAUCACCGGCCGGCGGCCCGUGGACCCCAGUAACUACAUGGAGGACAGCCUGGUCGACUGGGCGAGGCCGCUCCUGGCGCGCGCGCUGUCGGAGGGCGGCAGCUUCGACGAGGUGGUGGACCAGCGCCUGGAGAACAAGUACGACCGGCAGGAGAUGGAGCGCAUGGCCGCCAGCGCCGCCGCCGCCGUCCGGCACUCCGCCAAGCGCCGCCCCAAGAUGAAACAGAUCGUUCGCGCGCUGGAGGGCGACGCGUCGCUGGACGACCUGAACGAAGGGAUGAAGCCAGGGCAGAGCAUGAUAUACAGCUCCGACGAGUCCGGCAGCUACGCGGCCAACAUCAACAGGCUGAGGCAGGUCGCGUUCGAGAGUAGCGGGGAGUACACCAACGAGUACAGCGGGACGGGGGAGUCGGGGGAGACGACACAACGGCAUCACUAA
rnacentral:rRNA from 1 species